AGUGAACGCUGGCGGUAGGCCUAACACAUGCAAGUCGAGCGGCAGCACAGUAAGAGCUUGCUCUUACGGGUGGCGAGUGGCGGACGGGUGAGGAAUACAUCGGAAUCUACUUUUUCGUGGGGGAUAACGUAGGGAAACUUACGCUAAUACCGCAUACGACCUACGGGUGAAAGCAGGUGAUCUUCGGACCUUGCGCGAUUGAAUGAGCCGAUGUCGGAUUAGCUAGUUGGCGGGGUAAAGGCCCACCAAUGCGACGAUCCGUAGCUGGUCUGAGAGGAUGAUCAGCCACACUGGAACUGAGACACGGUCCAGACUCCUACGGGAGGCAGCAGUGGGGAAUAUUGGACAAUGGGGGCAAGCCUGAUCCAGCCAUACCGCGUGGGUGAAGAAGGCCUUCGGGUUGUAAAGCCCUUUUGUUGGGAAAGAAAAGCAGCAGGUUAAUACCCCGCUGUUCUGACAGUACCCAAAGAGUAAGCACCGGCUAACUUCGUG
rnacentral:rRNA from 1 species